UCCGUAGGCGGGUAAUUAAGUCAGAGGUGAAAUCCCACAGCUUAACUGUGGAACUGCCUUAGAUACUGGUUAUCUUGAGUUUUAGUGAAGUAGAUAGAAUGUGUAGUGUAGCGGUGAAAUGCAUGGAUAUUACACAGAAUACCGAUUGCGAAGGCAGUCUACUAACUAACAACUGACGCUAAUGGACGAAAGCGUGGGGAGCGAACAGGAUUAGAUACCCUGGUAGUCC
rnacentral:rRNA from 1 species